rnacentral:lncRNA from 1 species
CCUUCAUUUACGUUCCUGCUAAACCCAUGGCUUAAGUGGGGCUUCUGUGCUAGAGAGAUUUUGCACUGGCUGUCUGCCCAGGGGAGGACUGCAGCAGGAGUAGACUCUGACAGAAAUAGGUGGUUAUAUGUGUAGACCUCUAAGUCUUGAAACAAGAAUAUCACUGCUAGAGGUCAAGGUUUAUGCCUGCCAGUAUUUCCCUCGUUUACUAAAGUCAGUUGACUUUCCCUUGCCAGUGCUGGCUAUUUUUGUAACAGUCUCACAAUGGUGGGGAUUUUCUCAUUUCAGUCCCUACAGAAACGACAAAGCUUUGGAUACUACUGCCUCUGGAGACUUCAUGAAGAAGUUCAAACUCUGUGUUUUCAUGUUAAAAUUUCUUCUAGACCAUUGGUUUACAAAGCUCAGGAUGCGAGCUGGCACAUUUGAAGGAAGAAGGAACCUGAAAACUGACAUCGCUGACAACACCUGCCUCAGCUUUCUGUGUUCCCAGUGUCGCAGAUACUCUGCAGAGAUUAAAAAGAAUAACGAGAGACCUUGAAACUCUGACCAGCAAGAAAAAA